rnacentral:tRNA from 1 species
CGGCGUGUAGCUCAGCAGUCAGAGCGCCCGGCUCUUACCGGGAGGGCGCGGGGGCGGGACCCGCCACGCCGG